UCGUCCAGGGACAUGGAAAGCCCCACCUGUUAUCAUCGGGGAAGCUGUCAAAUCUUCUGUCUAUGUUCUUUUUUUCUUACAAUCAAUUCCAUCUGUUCUUCCCAGACUCCUCUAACAUUAAUUUCUAUAGAAAUGCUGGAAAUGUACUGAGUUUGGACAUUUUGGUUCCAACUUUGUGCAGGCCGGCUACAGGUAUGUUGCCUGUGCUAGAGUCUCUACGGUAACCGUUUCUUACUUUCAUGUUAUUUGAGGCGAAUAAAUUCACCUUCUAUAGCACCUGUUAUCUUCCAUUUCAAAGUUUGAAGACACCUGCUUUGUGUUUGUCAUCAUUCCUGUUUUUCGGCCUUUGUAACUAGAUACAGAUAUUUCAAGCCUUGUGUUGAUGUAAUGCAGACAGGGGUAGCAUUGAAGGAACUGUUUUGCAGUGGGGUAGGGAACGCAGUGAGAUGUUCAUCACCUCUAGCACUUUAUUAUAUGUUUUUGCCACUCAUCGUUCUUGAUUUGGACCCGAACUGAAAUUGCUUAUAGAUGAUUAGUGAUCACAAUCAAAUUUUGAAGUCAGGAGCAUGAUCUUUAGUUUAGGACCCUGAUCUUGGCCUAAAGCCAACUCUGUUUAAGCAAUCAAGUCAUUAUUACUUGUGACUGUAUUAGUUAUGAAAUUUUCAGGGGCAGCGACCAAGCUCCUGAAGACGUUUCAAGGGCACUGAGCAAGAGUUUAGAAGAUCUGCAACUUGAUUAAAUUGAUCUAUAUCUUGUAAGCGUUUAUUAUGCAUUGAGUUAUAUUUGCAAAUCAACUGGAAUUCGUCUCUCGGUAGUGCUCUAGACAAUUUUUUUGUCACUGAUUUUUAUCUUUAGAACCUUUUUUACAAUUGUGAAAAAAUCUCUCUUUCUGGCAUAUGCCCUUCUGGGUUCUCCAGGAUCUUGGAUUAAAGGAGAGAUCCUAAAGGAACCAGUGCGGUUGAAAUUACUGAAAAGCUUAACAAAUCGCCUGCACAAGUAGCUCUUCCCUGGGGUAUUCAGAGUGGUCACAAUUUCUUCCAAAGAGUGUAAAUGGAUCAAGGAUCAAGGAAAACUUAAGCUUAUUUCAUUGGCAUAUCCCUCCAGAGCUCCUCAAAAUUCACAGAAAUCCACCAGCUAAGGCUCCUCCGAGUGGGGUUUGCAGUCCAAGAAACUAGUAGCCCUUGCAAAAGUCUUGAAAAUUUGUGGGAUGGUGAAAUAUGAGAUGACAUAUCCUCUGGUGAUUUUUGGAUACACAAGCUAUUAAUCUCUCUUCAGAAAACCAAUGCCACAUACUGAAGCCUACCUCUCGGAUUUUGAGACACUAAGAAAUGAAGCUAAGUGUUUGUUAAUUUCAUUUUAGCUUUUGAGUUUGGGAACAGAACUAUUUCUUCCAACAUCAUCUUUAUGCACUUGAAAACAUGUGGAAACGGAAACUAUGGAAUUUGCGUA